GUUAAAGGUGUGGCACUUCCCGCUUCUCUCUCUCUCUCUCUUUCCUGCUCCGCCGCGGUGAGACGUACUUGCUUCUCCUCACCUUCUACCGUGAUUCUGGACUAGACAGAAGACUACAGUUCAAUAAGAAGGAAACACAUUCAUUUUCAGUAUUGUUAAUAAAGAAGCUUACCUAAAAGAAGGAAAUCAAAACAAGAUAAUCUACACUGCAACUAGGGGAGGCUAUUGAAUGUGAUGGUCCCCUCAGAUGCCUAGAGGAAGAUGAACAAUGGUAAUCAGAUAUCCUAAAGUUAUCUUUAGGGCACUGGCAAAAUAGCAGCAAUGCCUGGUGGAAGCUGACUUUGUGCAUACACAUGAGAGCCCACAGAAAACUUCAAACUUCAUGGAAAUAAAACCUUCAGCUGCAGCUAAGAAUUUGGAGGUUACUGAAGGAGGUUACUUUUUCAAGAGCAGAAGUAAGGAUUCCACUGAAUUUGCUCACCAAAGAUAAGUCAGCAAAGAAAACUUACUGAAGAAUACAGGAACAUAAAUCUUAAGCAGGCUUACAUAAGGAAGGGAAGUGGUUGAAUCUGAGGUAAUUCCAUGGUGGACUUUGAAGAAAGCCUUCCAUGAGUUCCCAGUCCAUAUCCUCCAAAAGACAGCAUAUCAGCUCCUGCUUUCCAGACAAACUUCCUGGGUCUUGGGAAGAAGAAAGCCUCAGACUAAGAACUCUCUCUGGACUCAGACAGCCUGAAUUCAAAUCCCAUCUCUAUUCUUACUAGUCAUAUGAACACAGGAGAACCAUAUCCAUUCAGCUCACUUUGGACCACCUGUGGAGCCUGAUAACCAGGGAACAGAGAACCUGUUGAGAUCCAAAUUUGUGUGCCAGAUCACAAACUCAUCUGAAGCAGAUGCCACGUGUUACACUGUUAUGUCUCUCAGAGACUCCAGCACUUUGAAAGUAUUAGGCCUUGCUUAUUGAGAUGAAUAUUUUUUUCUAGGCAUGUCCCAAAGUUCUCAGCAUAGCUACAACCCUGAUUUUCACAGGAUUUUCAUUAAAAUUAGGUUCUAGAGCAUUACUUCCCUAAUGUGCAAUGCAACUUACGUUUAGUUUUCAAAUCAAAAUUAGUUUUGUUUUUCCACUGUCUUUGUCUUUGAAAAUAUUGAACUUGGGAUUUCCAAAAUUAUAAUUAGCAAUUAUUUUUACAUAUCUUUUAUAUACAUAACUUUUACAAUGGCUGCCAUUAUCAUGUAGGUUCUUAGGAAGUGUUUCUGAUCCUUGUAAAUAAAAGUGAAAGAAGAAAUCUUUACUGCUUGCUGACCCAUGUGACUAACCUUGAAAUCAGAGAGGCAGAUUCAUUUAAAACAAACUUGCAAACUGUUAAGCAAAGUACUGAAUCUCUGUGACUUGACCAAAAGUAAUUCAGACUUGACUAUUCCAGGCUCCCUUCUAUCUCUGUAGCAACCCAUGCAUCAUAGACUCCAGUUGCAAUGGAUGGUCAAGGAAUCUGCUGUGCCUUUUGAGUCUCUCCAUUUUAUAUUGCCAAAUUUAUCUUCCUUUAAUACUUCACUUCACAUAAGACACUAAGAUAAACAAGGAUGCAACUCACUUAUAUUUCAAAAUAGUACCUAGUGGUUAAAAGUACUUGUUCUGAAAGCAACUCUAUUUUUCUAGUUCUAACAUGUCUCCAACUAGUUAUCUCACCUUGAGCUUGGCACAUAAUCACUCCAUCUUACUUUUGCAUCUGUGACACAAGAAAAAUACCACCCACCUCAACAUAGAUCUUAUGAAGAUUAAAAUAAGAUUAUGAAAGUAAAAUGCUCAGCACAAUGUCUAAACGAAAAUAAAUGCUCAGCAAGUAGGAGCUACUAUAAUUAUUAUCCAGAUCAAAUAUUUUCUCCUCUAUGAAGCUUUCUUAUUCUUCCCCAGCUGGAAUUACUUAUUUUCUUCCUUGCUUUCUACACCACACUUUAGUCACCACCAUGCUGGCACUUGUCUCACCGCAUUAUAAUUAUUUAUGUGCCUGUGUUCCAUAACCAGAAUAUGGGACUUAAGCUUCUUUAUACCUCCAGCAUAAUUGUUUCAUGUGUGCUUUUAGGUAAUGGAGUAAAAUGGAUGAAUGAGUGAAUGCGACUAUAGUACUAAAUGCUCUUAGAUAAAGAUGUAAUUAUUCUUAAGUGAUAAAAUUAUUCGAACAUGAGUAGUUCAGAUAAUGAGAGACUGUCAUAGAAUUACUUGAUAAAAUCUAGUCAAUAAAAUGGCUUGGCAAUAUAACCUUUAUGAUUUCUUUAAACAAUCAUUCAUUUCUUUCUGAAGAUGAGAAGAGGAGAUUCCUUCUCCCAUCUUUAUAUUUCAACAAUGAUUAGAAAACAAAUUGAUCUCUGGGAUCAGUGCCCAAUACCAUUAAAGUGGUAUACAUCUUACAAUUCUUAAUUAAUUUGUGGCAUACAUAUACCAGUCUCCACAGCCAGCUUCAUCUGCAUACAGCAGCAUAAUCACUUUUUUCCUUAUAGUAAAGACAUAUUAUGAGUCAUCAAAGUCUUCUCCGGGGGUUGUGGUUAUCAUCUGGUAAUCACACCCUUGGGAGGUUAAAAACACUUAUCUUUGGAUCAUGACUUGCAAUGCCCCAGGGGUGUGAUUAUCUCAGGCAACUCACACUUUCUGUCAUGCCUAAUUGCUUAAUUAUUAUAGCUGCAAGUUCACACCACCAUACAGGAACUCAUGUUGUGUCAGCAUUUCCACUAUAAAUUCCUUUUUCAAGAGUCUAUAACUCAGCCAUAAAAAAAAAAAAAAAAAAAACCUAUGGUCCAUUGAAGCACUGCAGUAAGAGUCUUAUUCCAGGAAACAUUUCUGUAAUAGGUUAAUUGUAUCUUAAAAAUUGGGUCCUGAUUCUCAUAGUUAGUUCACCAAAGAAAUAAAUGCUAAUUAAAUGUCUCUAAAUUAUAUAUUUUUCUGUAUGGCUGGGUAAAUAAUGUAAAUCCUAAAGACAUAAAUAUUAUUUUUUAAAUAUAACAAGAAUGGCUCAUACAAUUUCCAGUUUUUUGGAAAUACACUUACACAUAUUUAUAAAAUAUUAUAUAAGUAGAAUGAGCUAAACCAUAGUUAGAGAACAUUGUCAUAUGCAAUCAUGUACUACAUAAUAUUUCAGUCAGUGGACAGCAUGUGGCAGUGGUCACAUAAGAUUAUAACGCAGCUGAAAAAUUCCUGUUGUCUAAUGACAUCAUGGCUGUCAUAACUGUCAUGGCCGUCAUGGCCAUCUGAACAUUGUAGUACAAUGUAUUCCUCAUGUGUUUGUGGUGAUGCUGAUGUAAACAAGCAUCUGCACUGCCAGUUGUAUAAAAGUGUAGCACAUACAAUUAUGUACAUACAAUUAUGCACACACAAUUAUGUACAACACAUAAUAUUUUAUAAUGACAAUAAACAAUUUUGUUACCGGUUUAUGUAUUCACUGUACUAUACCUUUCAUCAUUAUUUUAGAGUGUACUCUUUCUACUUAUAUAUAAAAAAAAGUUAAUUGUAAAACAGCCUCUAGCAGGUCCUUCAGGACAUAUUCCAGAAGAAGGCAUUGUUAUCAUAGGAGAUGACGGUUCCAUGCGUGUUAUUGCCCCUGAAGACCUUCCAGUGGGUCAAGAUAUGGAGGUGAAAGACAGUGAUAUUGAUGAUCCUGACCCUGCGUAGGCCAAGUUUUCUUGACUUCACUUAAUCUGCUGGAAGCUGAUCCUUUUCAUGUCCAUGUUUAAGGAAGCGUUGAAGGUCACGUCACUCAAAGCCAACAUCAGCAGGCAUCCUACCAAGAUAAUCUCUGAAGAGGUCAGAGGCUAUGACGCCUGCAUUGAACUUUUUCUACUUUGAAGACUACUGUGAACUGAAUUGUAUCACACCCACCCUUUCCCAGAGUCCCCGAGAAUUCACAUGUUGAAGCCGUUACCCACCAUGUGACUGUUUUGGGAGACAGAGCCUUAAAAGAGGCACAAUUAUUACAAUUUAUUGUGGACAGGAAAACACAUGGAUGUUGAAUACCAGUUCCUGUGAAAGAUACUUGGGUUUCGGGAUAACAACAGUCCCAAGUCUUCAGAACAAAUCAACAGAAUUCAAUCAAGUAUUUCCUUGCACUUACUUGUUAUGACUUCUUAGUCUCUCCAGUCUGUGACAGUUACUCAUUUUCUCCCUGAUACAAGGACUACAACACUUUGGAAGGUGCUUGUCAGAAAUUUAUUCUCCUUAUAUACAUUCCUACACACAUGUGGAUGCUUUUAUUGAAACCAGUUCAUAGGUAUGUUUGUAUAAUCUUUAUACACAUAAAAUAUAUUUUUUUC
rnacentral:lncRNA from 10 species